GACGAACGCUGGCGGCGUGCCUAAUACAUGCAAGUAGAACGCUGAAGGAGGAGCUUGCUUCUCUGGAUGAGUUGCGAACGGGUGAGUAACGCGUAGGUAACCUGCCUGGUAGCGGGGGAUAACUAUUGGAAACGAUAGCUAAUACCGCAUAAUAGUAGAUGUUGCAUGACAUUUGCUUAAAAGGUGCAAUUGCAUCAAUACCAGAUGGACCUGCGUUGUAUUAGCUAGUUGGUGAGGUAACGGCUCACCAAGGCGACGAUACAUAGCCGACCUGAGAGGGUGAUCGGCCACACUGGGACUGAGACACGGCCCAGACUCCUACGGGAGGCAGCAGUAGGGAAUCUUCGGCAAUGGACGGAAGUCUGACCGAGCAACGCCGCGUGAGUGAAGAAGGUUUUCGGAUCGUAAAGCUCUGUUGUAAGAGAAGAACGAGUGUGAGAGUGGAAAGUUCACACUGUGACGGUAUCUUACCAGAAAGGGACGGCUAACUACGUG
rnacentral:rRNA from 1 species